GCCAUUGUGGUGUAGUGGUUUGCAUCUUGAGCCAAGACUCCAGGAGACCAGGGUUCAAAUCCCUGCUUGGCC